UACGGAGGUGGCGAGCGUUGUCCGCAGUUACUGGGCGUAAAGGGUGCGUAGGCGGGUCUUUAAGUCCGGGGUGAAAUCCUGGAGCUCAACUCCAGAACUGCCUUUGAUACUGAAGAUCUUGAGUUCGGGAGAGGUGAGUGGAACUGCGAGUGUAGAGGUGAAAUUCGUAGAUAUUCGCAAGAACACCAGUGGCGAAGGCGGCUCACUGGCCCGAUACUGACGCUGAGGCACGAAAGCGUGGGGAGCAAACAGG
rnacentral:rRNA from 1 species